rnacentral:vault_RNA from 1 species
GUGCAGGUUUAGUCUAAAGGUUCCUUCGUUCUAUUAUGAUAUUAUUGCUCUCUGAGUGUGAGUUCAAACCAGACCUUGGACGCAGUCCUGCACUUUU